UGGGGAAUCUUGCGCAAUGGGCGAAAGCCUGACGCAGCCAUGCCGCGUGAAUGAUGAAGGUCUUAGGAUUGUAAAGUUCUUUCGCUCGUGACGAUGAUGACGGUAACGAGAGAAGAAGCCCCGGCUAACUUCGUGCCAGCAGCCGCGGUAAUACGAAGGGGGCUAGCGUUGUUCGGAAUUACUGGGCGUAAAGCGCGCGUAGGCGGCUUUGCAAGCCAGAGGUGAAAUGCCUGAGCUCAACUUAGGAAUUGCCUUUGGGACUGCGAGGCUUCGAGGACUGGAGAGGUGAGUGGAAUUCCCAGUGUAGAGGUGAAAUUCGUAGAUAUUGGGAAGAACACCAGUGGCGAAGGCGGCUCACUGGCCAGUUUCUGACGCUAAAGUGCGAAAGCGUGGGGAUCAAACAGGAUUAGAUACCCAAGUAGUCCCUG
rnacentral:rRNA from 1 species